AGAUGCAGAGUUGCACCACAUGCGGAGGAUGUGUGUCUUCGGGACUUUGUGACAAUUUGGGAACUUCGCCUCCGCCGCUUUGCCCGCGAAAUGACACUGUGGACGGUCCACGUGAAGAGAAGAGCCGGCGGGACAAAACCAUAAGAGGCCGACCAGCCAGACGGCUGCUAUCGCCACCAAAGGAUGACGUGUCCUGUCGUGUGGCUACGGCGUUCUUCCUGCGUGCAGCCUGCUUCGUUUUUUUUUUGUUUGUUUUGUUUGUUUUUUUUUGGUUUGUUUUUUUGUUUUUUUCUUUUCUUUUUUUCCACUGAGAGCCGAGCCAAGCAUGAAAGUGACUUCCUCGAUCAUCUCUACAGCCCCCCCAGCGUUCUGUUCAAUCCCUCCAUUGCCAUGAUGGACUUGAGGGUCACGACUCACUUCCUCCUGGAUACUCGCCGUUACUGAGAGGAGUCUUAAGAUGGGAGAUGCUGUGAACUCAGCAGCUGCAGAGUGGAGCAGGAUUUGCUCUCUAUACCGGAGGUCCACCUUGAAGCAAUGGGGAGUGAUUAGCUCCGGCAGCUUCAGCCAAGGUGGGUGCUGCACAGCCGGCAUUUUGCAUUUUAAUCAUGCCAGCCUGGUGACAGGAACUGCAGAAGA